GCUGGGUCAGUGGGGGUGAGAAACUGGCUUGGCUCUGCGUAACGACAGUCAGUCUUUUUCUCUCUCCUAUCGGCCUCGUG
rnacentral:pre_miRNA from 1 species